rnacentral:tRNA from 1 species
GCCGGGGUAGCUCAAUCGGUAGAGCGUGUGGCUCUUAUCAAUAAGGUCAACCUCAAGGUCGCGGGUUCGAGCCCCGCCUUCGGCU